rnacentral:lncRNA from 1 species
GCAGCGUAGCUGAACAUCUUACGGAUGGCCCAGGGCUCCAAAGGCUCGUUUCCUAAGUGAGAGAGAGCCUGGCUGAAGCUGUAUUACCAUUCAUUCUCCAGCCUCCGAAGUCUCAAAGCAUCACUUCCACCAUACUCUAACUGUCAAGACAAACACAAAGGCCCAGAAACUGCCAGACUGUCUUCUGAAGUGGCUAUAAUAUUUACACUCCCAUCAGCAGUGUAGAAGGGGUCUCACUAUGUUGUCUGGAGUGCUGUGGUGGAGUGGAGUGGCUAUUCACAGCUGAGUUUGCAGAGUAAACCACUACCCUGAAAUCUGGAAAGGCAGGUGCACCCACAGAUCCUCAGCUGAGAUCCAAUUACCUGAAAUAGAAGCUGCCAUUAGGAACACUUAAAAGAGCCUGUUCUGCUGGGACACAGAAUCACUUGCUCCAUCUCAUACAUUGAUGAUGAUUAAUUUGUAUGUGUACCUUCCAAAAAAGAUGGUUGUGUUUGAAUGGAGGCCUUCUGGACAGGAAAAUUGCAAAGUACAAUUAACAUUUGAGUCUGUCUGAGUCAUGAAGAAAUGGAGAUUACUGAAAAUAAUUCAUUUUGGUAUCUUCUUACAUCCUGAGAGACUAAUCUUUCCAAGUUCAUCUGAGGCUCCUCUUCUCCAUGACAACCUCAUCCAGGGAUUUCUUCCUGUCCUGGUGUUUUAUGACAUAAUCACAUCCUUCCUGAGAUAAUGAGCACACAAUUGCCUGGAUACCUGAAGGAAUGGAGACAGCGGCAGAAAACACUGCAGAGAGGUGGAAACAUCCGUUAAUAUUUUAAAAUCCCAUUACUGCUACCAACAAUAAUAAUGGAUGCAUAGAAAUAGAUCUGGAUUAGCUGAGCUUGAAACAGUCCAUCUCACACACACACAAAAGAAUUUCAGAUACAGUGAACCCACAUGUUGAAGCUUUCUAGUAUAAUAAAAAUUUCAACUGUUCUGUUGAAUCAUCUGCCUGAUUGGAGGCUACAGAAAAGAUGUCAUCUUAGGAGUGCUUGCUCUGAGUGAGGCUCAUCUUCAAAUCUGAAUGACCACAAGGAGAUUUGAUUAUACAUGUGAACACCUCAGAAGGCACAGCCCACCCAGAAGGCAGACAGGUCAGGCUGCUUUUUCUUCAUUGCUUGGAUUCAAUCCUCCGGGCGGCUCAGGCUCAAACAUAACUUAAGCAUGAUUAAACUUUAGAAGAAGCUGCCAGGAAGACUGUGAAAUCUUCAUGCCCAAGGAUCCCUAAAAUUAGGAGCAACAACCACUUGGCUCAGACGGUUUAUGGAGGCAAAGGUUUGGAUGGGAUUAGAGAUUUCUAAAUGUGAGUUCGUGUCCUCUGCCAGACCACCUUACUUCCACCAUUCCUCAGCAAAUCAAGAAAAACAGGAGAAAAGACAUGCCUUUCCAUAAGUUAAAUCUAUUCUGUUUUAAUUCUAUAUUAUAUCUGCUGUACAACUUCUUUUGUUUGUAACACCAUAUUGUUGCUAGUAACUGGAAAUUAAUUUUCACAUGCCUCAGCUUAGAAAAAUAAAAAGCAGCCCUGCAUCAAUCCCA